rnacentral:rRNA from 1 species
GACUUGAAUUAUCAAUAUGAAGAUGUUUGUUUGAUCUCGAAAGCUAAGCAGGGUCGGACCUGGUUAGUACUUGGAUGGGAGACCACCUAGGAAGGCCGUGUGCUGAAGGCG